AGAGUUUGAUCCUGGCUCAGAACGAACGCUGGCGGCAUGCCUAACACAUGCAAGUCGAACGAAGGCUUCGGCCUUAGUGGCGCACGGGUGAGUAACGCGUGGGAACCUGCCCUUUUGUUCGGAAUAACGUUGGGAAACCGACGCUAAUACCGGAUACGCCCUACGGGGGAAAGAUUUAUCGCAGAAGGAGGGGCCCGCGUCGGAUUAGCUAGUUGGUGGGGUAAUGGCUUACCAAGGCGAUGAUCCGUAGCUGGUCUGAGAGGAUGAUCAGCCACACUGGGACUGAGACACGGCCCAGACUCCUACGGGAGGCAGCAGUGGGGAAUAUUGGACAAUGGGCGCAAGCCUGAUCCAGCAAUGCCGCGUGAGUGAUGAAGGCCUUAGGGUUGUAAAGCUCUUUCGCACGCGACGAUGAUGACGGUAGCGUGAGAAGAAGCCCCGGCUAACUUCGUGCCAGCAGCCGCGGUAAUACGAAGGGGGCUAGCGUUGUUCGGAAUUACUGGGCGUAAAGGGCGCGUAGGCGGUUUAUCAAGUUAGGCGUGAAAGCCCCGGGCUCAACCUGGGAAUUGCGCUUGAUACUGGUAGACUUGAGUUCGGGAGAGGUGAGUGGAAUUCCCAGUGUAGAGGUGAAAUUCGUAGAUAUUGGGAAGAACACCGGUGGCGAAGGCGGCUCACUGGACCGAUACUGACGCUGAGGCGCGAAAGCGUGGGGAGCAAACAGGAUUAGAUACCCUAGUAGUCC
rnacentral:rRNA from 1 species